AAAAGAUGAUUUGCGGACAGAUUAAGGACUUCAGAAGGAGAGAUGACACCAGACCUAGGUCUUGCAGAUGCAAACUCCUGUCAAGUGUGAGAGGAGGGGGAGUAUUAUCCACCAGUGGCAGAUAGGCUGGGCAUCUGGGCAGAAUGAUAAGAGCUGUGGCCCUGCAGCCAGUCCCUGCAUUUGCACCCUGAGUUUGCCAUGAGCUGUGUGACCUUAGUCAAGUUUCUCAACCUCUCUGUGCCUCAGCUUCCUUCUCUGAAAAAUGGGGAUCGUGUUUUGCACACAGCCCGACACACAGCAAAUAUUCAAAUUCCUUUGCAACAAGCAGGCAUUCAUUAUCUAUAAUUCCUAUUUUAUAACUUUUUUGUUUGAUCUAUCCCAGAAUUCAUUCUGAAGAAAUUCAACAGAAUAAAUGAUCAUUUUCCCUGA
rnacentral:lncRNA from 1 species